GGUGCCUUAGAGAAGUGGUUUAACUCACUCCGUUCGGGACUUCUCCUAGCUUUCGGAGAGAACAGGGGUUCGAAUCCCCUAGGUGCCC